rnacentral:rRNA from 1 species
UACGGGGGGAGCAAGCGUUGUUCGGAUUUACUGGGCGUAAAGGGCGCGUAGGCGGCCACCGCAAGUCAAUUGUGAAAUCUCCGGGCUUAACUCGGAAAGGUCAACUGAUACUGCGGGGCUAGAGUGCGGAAGGGGCAACUGGAAUUCUCGGUGUAGCGGUGAAAUGCGUAGAUAUCGGAAGGAACGCCGGCGGCGAAAGCGGCUUGCUGGACCCCAUCUGACGCUGAUGCGCGAAAGCCAGGGGAGCGAACGGG